AAAAAUUUCUUUACUGUGAGAGUGACAGAUCGCUGGAACAGGUUGCCCAGGGGGGUUGUGGAGUCUCCUACAUCGGAGAUAUUCAAGGCCCGCCUGGACAAGUUCCUGUGUGAUGUACUCUAGGUUACCCUGCUCUUGCAGGGAGGUUGGACUAGAUGAUCUUUUGAGGUACCUUCCAACCCUUAGGAUUCUGUGAUUCUGUGAAUCUGUGAUUCUGAGUAUCUGGGAAUGGCAGGUGUCCACAAUGGGCUACAGUUAAACCAACUGAUAAGUAGGAGGACAGGAGGAUUAUUAUGUCUCUGGUGCUAACGAACCAAUUAAGCUGGUAUAAACAUCUACUGCGCGUGUUCCAAAGGUGGCCAGAAGUGAUGAAGAUUGUUGGAAGAAGUAAACGACCCUCAGAGACCACCACCACAAUUCUGUACACAUGCGGGGAACUUUCUGGAAAAUGAUGCAAUCCAUAUGUAGCCUCAUGAAUAUGUAUGUAUGCCCAGUGGCUAUAAAAGGACGGCUUGUGUGGCAACUGGGGGACACAGGUUAAGAGGAGCUAUCCCCCGUGUCUCCCAGUGCCGCAAUAAAGAAUACCUGCUUGUCAGAUUGAAAACUUUGUUGGCAAGUUUGUUCCUGGAGUUUUCUCCGAAUCACACUCCAGAUAGGAAAAGCCUCACACUCGCAGGCCCUUGUUCUCAUGGGGGACUUCAACCACCCUGACAUCUCUUGGGAGGACGGUACGGCUCGGCACAAGCAAUCCAGG